rnacentral:rRNA from 1 species
GACGAACGCUGGCGGCGUGCUUAACACAUGCAAGUCGAACGGAAAGGCCCUGCUUGCAGGGUACUCGAGUGGCGAAAGGGUGAGUAACACGUGGGUGAUCUGCCCUGCACUUCGGGAUAAGCUUGGGAAACUGGGUCUAAUACCGGAGAGGAACCAUCUUUAGUGUGGGGGUUGGAAAGAUUUUUCGGUGUGGGGUGAGCUCGCGGCCUAUCAGGUUGUUGGUGGGGUAAUGGCCUACCAAGGCGGGUGCGGGUAGGCGGCCUGGGAGGGUGUACGGCCACAUUUGGGCUGGGAUACGGGCCAGACUUCUACGGGGGGCAAGAGUUGGGGAUAUUGGCCAAUGGGGCCGAGCCUGAAGCAGCCACCCCGGGGGGGGGGUGAAGGCCUUCGGGUUGUAAACUCCCUUCGGUAUGGACCGAGCUGUUUGUGACGGUACCUGGAAAAGAAGCACCGGCUAACUACGUG